AACGAACGCUGGCGGCGCGCCUAAUACAUGCAAGUCGAGCGAGAAGGUGUAGCAAUACACUUGUAAAGCGGCGAACGGGUGAGGAAUACAUGGGUAAUCUACCAUCGAGUGGGGAAUAACCAACCGAAAGGUUGGCUAAUACCGCGUACGCCUCCGAGUCUUCGGGUUCGGAGGGAAAGCUGCACUGUGAGUGUAGCGCUCUUUGAUGAGCUCAUGUCCUAUCAGCUUGUUGGUAGGGUAACGGCCUACCAAGGCUUUGACGGGUAGCUGGUCUGAGAGGACGAUCAGCCACACUGGCACUGCGACACGGGCCAGACUCCUACGGGAGGCAGCAGUAAGGAAUAUUGCGCAAUGGGCGAAAGCCUGACGCAGCGACGCCGCGUGGGGGAGUGAAGGUCUUCGGAUUGUAAACCCCUUUCGGGAGGGAAGAUGGAGCGAGCAAUCGUUCGGACGGUACCUCCACGAAGCAGCCACGGCCAACUUCGUGCCAGC
rnacentral:rRNA from 1 species